UCAUUCAUCAUAUUAAUCCUUGGUGCAACUUUAACUGUUCUUCACGAAAAAAGAGUCAUCACAUACAAACUACCAGAACAAUACAAGCAAUAACAGUAACCUUAAUGCAACAUUGCAACAAAGAGAACUGUUGCUAGACUCCCCAGUCCCCAUGCUAGGCCAUCAUAGUGAAGCUCAAUUUUGGAUUUUUGGCAACUCGUGAUCUCUCUUUCUCUCUCUCUCACUUUUGGCACACUUCUUUCUCCAUUCUAAUACAGUAAUACUCUAAUAAUUUUAAUGCCUAUUCUGAUUGAUGAGAGAACAAUAACAUAAGUUUCACGCCCCAAAGCCCAAACACCACCAUCUUCUCCACACCAUGAAGAAGCUGUUCCUCCUUGGCACUUGGAAGCGCAACCGCUGGAAGCAAAGGUUCCGACUUUUCACCACCCUUUUGGAAGAUUUGGAUACCCCUCGUCUCCGUCACGUGAUCGCCACCAACAUUUCCAUUGGCAGGAGAGUUAAAUCCGGCGAACUUGAAUUAGCACGCCACCUGUUCGACGAAAUGCCGCUUCGAACUGUUUCCACUUGGAAUACUAUGAUUUCCGGAUAUUCGCAAUGGGGCUGCUACGUUGAAGCCCUGGCCCUUGCUUCCCUCAUGCACCACUCUUGCGUCAAGUUUGACGAGGUCUCUUUCUCUUCGGUGUUGAGCGCAUGCUCACGUUCUGGGACACUGGUUCAUGGGAAGCAAGUUCAUUCAUUGCUUUUAAGGUCUGGGUACGAGAGAUUUGGCAUUGUGGGGAGUAGUUUGUUGUAUUUUUACGUUCAGUGUUCUGGAAUUGGAGAAGCUGAGGUAGUUUUUAAGGAGCUUCAUGGCGGGAAUGAUGUGUUAUGGAGCCUGAUGCUUGCGGGUUAUGUGCAGCGUGACAUGAUGGGUGAGGCUCUGGACAUGUUUGAAAAGAUGUCUGAUCGUGAUGUUGUGGCCUGGACCACGUUGAUCUCUGGGUAUGCGAAGAGGGAAGAUGGGUGUGAGAGGGCUUUGGAUUUGUUUUGGUGUAUGAGGAGUUCUGGGGUGUUGCCUAAUGAGGUCACGUUGUGCACUGUUGUGAGAGUUUGCACUAGGCUGAGGGCUCUUUGGCAGGGGAAGGUUGUUCAUGGGCAUUGCACCAAGGAAGGGUUUGCUUUUGAUAAUGCAAUUGGUGGCGGGUUGAUUGGGUUUUAUUGUGAUUGUGAUGCCAUAGAUGAUGCCAAGAGAGUUCAUGAGAGCAUGAGAGGAGAAACUUAUUUGAAUCUGACUAACUUGUUGAUUGGUUGCCUUAUCUCCGCGGGAAAGAUUGAAGAAGCUGAGAUGAUAUUUUACAGGUUGAGAGAGAUGAAUCACGUAUCAUAUAAUUUGAUGAUUAAAGGUUAUUCUAUGAGUGGUCAUUAUGAGAAGUCAAAAAAAUUAUUCAAUCAAAUGAGUCUCAAGGAUAUAACUUCCUUAAAUACUAUGAUAUCUGUGUACUCCAAAAACGGUGACCUUGAUGAAGCUGUGAGGCUUUUUGACAAAACUAAAGAUCAGAAAAACCCUGUGACAUGGAAUUCAAUGAUGUCUGGUUAUAUUCAAAAUGGCCAGUACAUGAAGGCAUUAAAAUUAUACGUGAUGAUGCGUAGGUUAUCAGUUGAUUAUAGCAGAUCGACAUUUUCUGUCUUAUUUCGUGCAUGUUCGUCUCUAGGUUCUUUUCAACAAGGACGGUUGCUUCAUGGCCACUUAACCAAGACACCCUUCCAAGCAAAUGUUUAUGUUGGGACUGCCCUUAUAGACUUAUACUCCAAAUGUGGUCGCUUGGCUGAUGCUCAACGGUCAUUCCUCAGCAUUUUUUCACCCAAUGUAGCCGCAUGGACAGCUCUUAUCAAUGGGUAUGCAUAUCAUGGACUUGGAUCCGAGGCAAUUUUACUCUUCCAUUCAAUGUUAGUUCAAGGAAUUGUGCCAAACGCUGCUACUUUUGUUGGCAUUCUUUCUGCCUGCUCUCAUGCUGGUCUAGUUGAUGAAGGUUUGAAAAUCUUCCACUCGAUGGAGGAACUUUACAAGGUAACCCCAAGCAUAGAACAUUACACAUGUGUGGUGGAUCUUCUUGGUCGAUCAGGCUAUGUAAGAGAAGCUGAAGAGUUUAUUAGAAAGAUGCCUAUUGAAGCAGAUGGGGUGAUUUGGGGAGCUUUAUUGCAUGCAUGUUGGUUUUGGAAGGACAUGGAAGUAGGGGAGAAAGCUGCUGAAAAGUUGUUCAGCUUGGAUCCGAACCCAACAGUGCCUUUGGUAAUUCUGUCAAAUAUGUAUGCGGUGCUAGGUAGAUGGGGGCAGAAGUCAAUUCUUAGAAAGAGAUUGCAGAGUUUAAAAUUGAGAAAAGAUCCAGGGUGCAGCUGGAUUGAAUUGAACAACAAUAUUCAUCUGUUCUCUGUAGAGGAUAAAACACAUCCUUAUUCUGAUGUUAUUUAUGCAACUCUAGAGCAUUUAGCAGCAACCGUUAAUUCUGUCAUACCCUUCAAUUAUCUCUAUAGCAGCAACAGCAAAUAUCAUGGAUAAUGCAAAGCUGCAAACUGCGGAUCCUAUGUUACUUCAGAUUUGGCCACUGAGCUGAAUAUUUUUCUUGAGAGACCAUUGAGCUUUAACUAUUUGAGCAUCAAUCAUGCGAAGGAUCAACAUACCAUGAAGUAGCUGAUGUGAGUGUGGGAGAACAAACCAGCUACCAUUAAAGGUAUUACUGCUGAAUCUCAUUGCCUCAGAGUUCUUUAACACUUCAAUCUAAAAACGACAGCAAUUGGGAAAAUCCAGCAUGGGGCCUGUGAUUUCCUUUUAACUUCUAUGAAUACUAUCUGAUAUUUCCUUACCUACAGCAAAUGUACUAUUUGUAAGUAUUCACAUUUUAAUUCGAAGACUGACUGUUCAGUUUUGCUUAAUUAACAUGGGACUUUUGGAAGUAAGAACAUUGGCAAGAUAGCAUUAUUACUUUUUGAGUUAUAUGAAUUUUGUUGGAGUAAUAUUUAUAACAAAAGCCACAUUUGGCUCAUUGGAGUAAAGUUAUUUGCAUAUUACUUUCGGCGCAUUAUUUUAUUUAGAAUCUAUGCAUAAAUAGGCCAAUUCUUAUACAAAAGUUAAAAUGAGAUACAUUUUGCAUCAAAAUUUUGCAAGGCAAUUUCCUGAAUUUAAUUUUGAUGCAUUGUCAUUGUAAAGUAGUUUUACACGUGCAUCCAAUUAUGAUAUUAGGCUUCUUCUUCUGGAAGUUUGUUGUGAGGUUUUCUGCUAUGCUAGGUGGAUAGAGAGUUAGCUUCAAAUGGGAAAUCCCCGGAGAAGUUGAAAGGAGCUGGUUCCUUUCUUAUAAAAGUAUUUGGUGUUCUUGCAGUAUGUAUUCUUCUACAUAUCGGUUACUGUUUCUAAUUUUAAUGUGCAGCAUAUACUUUAAUGGUGUGAGAUAUAUAUAUUUUGUGUGAGUGAGCAAGGGGGAAUCACCACAGUCGCUUCUUUAUUGUCUUGCUUGCAAUACAGGGAAAUUGCAAUAUAGGAAAAAGGUUCUAUGCGUAUUGGAGUAUAACUUGCCAGUUGUUCAAGAUUUACUUUAAGCUGGGUACAGUUCAUCUUUGUUGUAGUGUGAUAAGAAGUAUUGAAAGGAGCACACAUAUUUGACUUCGAGGAAUUUCCUAAGAGAGAUAAGGUAAUAUUGAAAUAUGAUCUAUAUGCAAUUGUUGAUCCAAAGUCAUUAUUGUUCAUGAAUGAGUAUAACACCAUUGAAUAUAGUGGUGAUACAGCUGCAAACCCAGUCAAUUAUAUUGCAAAAAUGGCGCAGAUUCAGUCAUUUCCAAGGUAUGAAGGAAUAUCAGCAACAAUAGGGCCGCUGCAAGGCCAUUUCACUGCUGGGCCGCCAAAUCUUACUUACAUGAGAGCUGCUCUUGAUGCUUUUGAUACUGUUUCACUUCCAAUAUAAGCUUAUAGAAGUGUGUGUGAAUUGAGAUCCAAACCGGGUAUUUGCUAAACUCAAAACAACUUUGAAGGGAAAUUGUUAGCUUUAAGAUAUGAAAACAUAUGCUAAUUUGAUCAGUGUCGUUCUUAGAAUUUGAUAGACACUAUCUUAGAAUUUUAGAAUAGAGUUGUACUAUUUUAAUUAACUAUAGCUUAUGACUUAAUAAUAAGACACCAAGUUUCAUUCUCAUUCUUGAUUUUUAGA